GUGUUUUAGUGCCCCAUAGAGUCCAGCGUCUGACCGAAGACUAGAAUCUCAACUACACUGAAACCAGUUAAUUGUACAGUUUGAGCUAUUGUAGUUUAGAGAACCUUUAAAUGCAGGUAUAUAAAAUAUUCCAUGUACAAAGAAUUCUUUUAAUACCCCAUGUGUUUUACAUAACUGAUGGUGCAAGUACAUUUUAUAACUUUUAACUUUUAACUUUCACUGUUCUGUAGUGCAUCAACAGAAGUAGUUUGACUGAACCGCUGACAGGUCUUUAAAUUUCACAUUUGUGCGAGCUGGAAAGACGAAGUCACAACAACGUACAGCUGGAUAUAAAAGACUUAAGAGGCAACACGUCGUACAUACACUAGAUGGCACCACGCCUACACAAGUGUCCACAUGCUGGACAUUAAGCAGCACCAAAAAGGUAGACCAAAGAGAUUAAAAAUAAAUAUUUAUUCUUUUUAAAACAGCAAAUAUCCACAGGACAACAGCUGCAUCUGUUUGGAGGAAGAGCAAUGUCAGAAACAGUGUUCAAGCGAAUGGAAGAUUAGGAAGUAAUCAUUUUUCCCAGCCGGAUCCUCUUCCACACGGCUUUGGGAUGAACACGCCGGACUGGCUUGUAUGAUGCCGAUGGUUGCUGGGGGGCCGCGAAGGCCUGCUGCGGCACCGAGGGACGCUGGGGGGGCAGGUAGGCCUGCCCUGGCACUACCGGGUGUGGGGGGUCCAGGUAGAUCUGCUGCGGCACCGAGGGACGCUGGGGGGGCAGGUAGGCCUGCCCUGGCACUACCGGGUGUGGGGGGUCCAGGUAGAUCUGCUGCGGCACAGAGGGACGCAGGGGGUCCAGGUAGGCCUUCCCCGGCGCUAAUGGGCGCAGGGGGUCCAGGUAGGCCUGCCCCGGCGCUGAGGGGCGCAGGGGGUCCAGGUAGGCCUGCCCCGGCGCUGAGGGGCGCAGGGGGUCCAGGUAGGCCUGCCCCGGCGCUGAGGGGCGCGGGGGGUCCAGGUAGAUCUGCUGCGGCACCGAGGGACGCUGAGGGAACAGGUAGAUCUGCUGCGGCGCUGAGGGACGCUGAGGGUCCACGUAUUCCUGCUGCCGUACAGGCUGGCGCCCGGGAGCCCUGCCGGUCGGCUUACUGUAUAUCACGCUCUCCUUCUCAGCGGGUUCCUUCAGUUGUAUGAUGGCGUGGCCACCGAAGCGCUCGGGGAUGGAGAUGGGUCCGAAGUGCUGCGCAGAGGUCCUGGACGCAGGGAGGUCACGGGCGCCCUGCGCCGGGUUACUGCCGCGCCAGGGGGUUUUGCGGUAGAUCUUACUGCCGGGCCUCUGCUUGGAGAAGCUCGUUGUUCCACUGGCUUCGUUGGACGCCGUAGACUGGCUGUGACGUUGGGGGAUAAAGGUGACGUGGGGCGCUGAAGCAGGCGUGUAGCUUUGUUGGGCUUGUCCUGCCUUCAUAGGGACCUCUGGGUGUUGGUUUCCAGCCUCCGGCCAACUCGGGAUAUUUCCAUUUCUCUCACUUGUUGGUGAGGACAAACGGGUCGGGUUAGAUGCCUCAGAGCCCAGACGCGAAGACACCAGUGUGGCGAACGCGCUGGCCGAUGUCGCCGUGCGACCAGGGAUUUGGUUUAGCAGAGCAGCAUCUAUGUCAGCAUCCAUGUCCAACAGGCUCAACGGAUAGUUGCCAGUACUCGGUGUAUUUGACCAAGUUCCCCUGCUAAUGGUAGUUUGAUGGUGCGUUUCAAAUGAACCACCACCAAUAAGAGCAGUAGAAAGGCCAAAUAUUUGCAGUGGCAUAGUUUCCUGAUUCAAGUUGGGUUUUGACUCAGAGCUGCUCUGCACCAACCCGGCAAAAACGCUGCUUGGUCUCGGAGCU
ensembl:lncRNA